rnacentral:lncRNA from 1 species
GUCUUAAUAGGAUUCUUAUUGUGAGGGAUUUAGAAGACCCUUACCCAAAAUGACUACUCAGAGAUUACUCAGUAGAAGGCAGAAAAGUUGUUUAUUGAAAACCUCAGGAGGAUGAGCCGGCCCAUCGCGAGGUAAGAAAGAGAAAGCUCGCUAGGAGGGCUAAAGAAGUAGUAAAGAUACAUAGCUUUUAUACAAGAAAUUACAUCACAAGUAAAGAGCAUUGAGAAGGGGAGGAGGAGGCAUCUAAUUGGUUGUUGCUAUUUAUAAUGGAGAGAUUGGAAUGGAAGGUUUCUGUUUCCCCCAAAUCUCCUGAUUUCAAGGAAAUAGAAAGUCAGGCCUUCAGGCUUAAUCAAGCAGACAGUGGUCCAGCCAAUAGACUAAAUAUUGAUAAAUGUCAAAUACCAAUAAAUGUCAUCAGCUCAAGUUAAGUAAAUAUGUUUCUAGCUGGCCAAGGCUCAAGUAGAUAUGAGCCUGCACAUAUUAUACAGGUCAGAGGGGAAACACAGAAAUAAUGAAAAUAAAAUACAGAAAAAGAAUUCAUACAUCCCUGUAAGUCCUUCACCUUAUCUCUCUCUAUUCCAUACAUUAUGGAGAAGAAGUUCAGCUGUUUUGAAGGCUUAUUUCUCGUCAGAAUUGUGGACUUGGGUAUUGGAAUGAAUUUAAGUUGUGAAGCCUGUAACAUAGCAACUAGGUUCGCAUUGAUGUUUUCAGACUUGAGGGAAAACAGGCUAUAAUUGGAAACUGAUUGGGUGCUGCAGUUGGAAAUGUGUUCAUGAUUAAAAUAUGAUCUUCUCUGAAGCAUAUUACCUCUCCAUUGGAUCAGGUGGGAAGAUCAUUGAGGGUCAGACUCAUCCAACUCCUCACUUCUCCCCAUGAUCACAGAAUCAAGCUUUCUUAAUCUGGGCUCUGUGAACAAAGGCAGCAGUUCAGGACAACCAGAGGAGGGGAGAGGGCCCUGGGCCAGAUUUGAGGUCAGAUCCCUGUUGACUCAGGGGCCAGGUACAUCUAGGCCUUGGAGGGAAAGGUCUGCCUUUGAGCAAUGA